CAUAGCGGGAUAAAAACACACACUGUGCCACAUUACCCAAUGUCCCAUAUUACCCAAAUUCACCCUACUUUUCUUUCAAGAACAGUCUAGCCUACUUUUCGUCUUUUGAGCCUUGGUAAAUCUGCCUUUUGUCCUUGAUCUUUGUCUCACGCUGAAAUCAAUAAUGGGGAACCCUAUGUCCCAUGUGGCCAAUGCCUCGAAGUCGCCGAUCCGGAUGCGGGUUGUCAAAGGCGAGAAAAUCAUAUCAAUUCCGUCAAGGGACUAUACCGUUUUAGCUGGAGGUGGGCAUGAGGUCAGCAUGCAUAUGAAGGAAUGCGACGGAAACUACAGGAUUAUCACUGACAGCUACCACAUCCCCUUGGACAGGUCCAUUAUUGUGACGGAAGAGGGCUACAUACGAUUACAGAAAUAUGGGGAAAGUAUUUGGAUGGAUGAGGAUGGCAUAAUGCACUAAUAGGGGAGACCGGGGUUGGUUGGCUACAGGGGUUGGUUGGCACACAGCAUUUUUUGGUAGUUUUGAAGGUCACAGAAACAAAAUUGUAACAUCAAAAUGUUUGCUUUCUCGACCUGCACUCGUCUACUAUGUUAAACCAUCUGAAAAUCACAAACUGUUUUGGUGAGGGUAACAUUUCACUUUUAUAGUAUCAAAAGUAAAAAAACUGGUCUGUGGACUAAAUUUAUUAUAAAACUGUGUCAGCUAAAGACAUUUAAAAAAUGUUACAUGUAGUUAAUAGACAUAGGAAUCAGCUACAUUUUCAUUUCAAAUUUGAAAGUUUGUGAUGAGUGAUGGUAGCUAGCCAACAUUAUUUAAUCACAAAAUUGGGUUAAAUUUGAGCAGGGUUGGUUGGCACAGUGAUUUUGAAGAUAUAGGAAUUUAAUCCAAAAGUGGUAAGACAUGUAUUAUAGGUGUGAUGGGGGAGAGGGACUACUAGGAGGGCUACUGUUGGGGUUAUUGUCCCUUUUUAAAUGUUGUCUAAUGAGAACAUUGUUGUCAACAUUCCGUUCUUCAGUCUUUUACAUUCCUUCUAAUUGCAUAAAACAUGUUAUUGAAUGUUUAAUUGGUUAAACUCUUUUAUUAAAUGUUCAAAUUUUUUCUAUUGCUUCAUUUUGUGUAACUAUAGCAUUUUAACAUUGUGCCGAUAGUUUGUUUGCUAAGCUGUAGCUAGUGCUAACGUUACCCACCUAAAUCGAUCCUGUUUGCUUGCACAGGGAUCUUCUACGCUAGAGCUACAAACAUCUGCCAUGCCCGUCGAGUCAAUGUUAGCUAGACUGUAUCUCAUCUGCUUUUUAUUAACGCUGAUUUGCAAGGAAUGCAAAAACAGCUAGAUAGCGAAAACACCUGGCAUUUUAAUCAUUGAAUGCAUCACGGGCACUGUGCACGAGUGAAUAUAACAACAGGAUUUAUGAAGGAUGCAUGUCUUAAAGUUAUGUAUUGUGCUUAUUAAAGUUAUGUCUUAUGAAACUUAGAAGUGUGCUCAGGCUUAAACAUAGGGUCUCACACUGAGUGUGGGAAGCAGGCUGUUCUUUGUGUCUCUCUUUUCAUUUUCAGAAACAACCUUGAAUCUGGGUGGAGAUGGCACCCGAGCAGGUGGGACGCGGAGGCAAGAACAACUCCCUGAUGCACGAGAGAACAAGCUCAACCCUUUUUUGAUACUUGUGUUUUCUAUUGCAUUGUAUAAUAUAUGCUGGGGCAGGGAAAGAUAGCCAGUUGGACUUCGUGAACCAGCCCAAACUCUGUUGCGGGUAGGGAAACAUAGACAACCCCAGAGCUCUGUACUUGUUGAUUUCCAACUGCUGCAUUAAAGCUGAUAUUAUCGGA